GAAAGUCUUCAUGUAGUAAGUGAAGAGCUGCCGUCUUCUCUAUAGUUGAUUCACUACAGGUGAAAAUAAUGUCACUGCUUUUCUUGGGGAUGAUGAUCGUCUCUUUCCAAACUGGAUCCUGUGAGGAUUUACUGAAACCAUUUAAAGAUGUGAUGACGACUUUGGAAGGAGACGCUGUGACUCUGUCCUGUAACUAUUCAGCCUCUGUGGACUAUUUGUUCUGGUACCAGCAGAAGUCCAGUUCAUCUCCACAACUUCUGAUGGCAGAAUAUUCAGAAGAAACAGAGAAGUUGUCUUUUAGACACAACAAGACAACAAAGGAGUUUCAUCUGGAGAUCUCCUCUGCUGCAGUGUCUGACUCUGCUGUGUACUACUGUGCUCUGAGGCCCACAGUGACAGGAAACACCUCAACUCUGUACAAAAACCUCUGGAGCAAAGACAACACAAUGCUCCACAGCAUCCACCAGAGGGAGACACUGUCAUAAACUGAUGUUUCGGGAUGGAACUUUUAUUUUUAUUUUUUUCACUUAUGAGAAACAAACAAAAUUCCAUUUCCAACACUUUAAUUUCAAAUAGUUCACUCUCAGUUUUUCUACAUCUCUGUAUUUCAAACUAAAUUUAAAACGGCGGCAACAUGAGCAAACAAUAAAUAAAACAUUAUCUACUAACUGUCAGUGUUAAAACAAUGGAUUUUAAACCAAUCAGACCUAUGGAAAUAACGUAUUUUAACUAUUUGCUACAAACAAAGUUGGUUAAUGAGUCUGGAAGAAGCCGUGGGUCUUCACAAAUUGAGAUUGAAUGCUUAAUUAAUUAAAAUGUAUUAAUCUAAUUAAUAUAUGCUAUGUUUAUCACAUAUUAGGAUAAUAUUAUUAUUAUCAUCAUUAUUACAGUACAGGACAAGGUUCUGUGGACUCAUGGGUCUAUUAUUAAACGGUCUGGUACAUCUGCAACAUCUGGAGUCAAAUGUCGGCUGAUGUUGCAAAGGUGUUUGUUGUUUCAGGGCGAAAUGCUGUAAAUGAGGGAAAGUCAGAUCCUGAAGGAGAAUGUUACUGUAGCUCAU